GUGGGGAAUAUUGGACAAUGGGCGAAAGUCUGAUCCAGCCAUGCCGCGUGUGUGAAGAAGGUCUUCGGAUUGUAAAGCACUUUAAGUUGGGAGGAAGGGCAGUAAGUUAAUACCUUGCUGUUUUGACGUUACCGACAGAAUAAGCACCGGCUAACUUCGUGCCAGCAGCCGCGGUAAUACGAAGGGUGCAAGCGUUAAUCGGAAUUACUGGGCGUAAAGCGCGCGUAGGUGGUUUUGUAAGUUGGAGGUGAAAUCCCCGGGCUCAACCUGGGAACUGCCUCCAAAACUGCAUGACUAGAGUACGGUAGAGGGUAGUGGAAUUUCCUGUGUAGCGGUGAAAUGCGUAGAUAUAGGAAGGAACACCAGUGGCGAAGGCGACUACCUGGACUGAUACUGACACUGAGGUGCGAAAGCGUGGGGAGCAAACAGGAUUAGAUACCCGAGUAGUCC
rnacentral:rRNA from 1 species